UACGGGGGGGGGCAAGCGUUUGUUCGGAAUUACUGGGCGUAAAGGGCUCGUAGGCGGCCAACUAAGUCGGACGUGAAAUCCCCAGGCUCAACCUGGGAACUGCGUCUGAUACUGGAUGGCUUGAAUCCGGGAGAGGGAUGCAGAAUUCCAGGUGUAGUGGUGAAAUGCGUAGAUAUCUGGAGGAAUACCGGUGGCGAAGGCGGCAUCCUGGACCGGCAUUGACGCUGAGGAGCGAAAAGCGUGGGGGAGCGAACAGGA
rnacentral:rRNA from 1 species